CAGUACCUGAAAUCACAGACCAAAGCUGCAAAAAGACCCAAAGUCAUGAAAAGACCUGAAGUUGAAGUCCUGAAGCCUCGAAAUGACCCAAAGUAAGGAAAGGAGUCUAAGCAGGAAUCCCCCACCCAAAAAGGAUGUCUCGUAACCUGGAGAGAGUGGUAACCAAAAAACAAACAGUGCAAAGAAUUCACGCGGAAUUUCACCUGACGAACGGGGAACGCCCUCCGAAACGUUGUUUGAUGCAAUAAACACACCAGGGGUAGGACCCCGGUUUAAAUCGC